rnacentral:rRNA from 1 species
AGAGUUUGAUCAUGGCUCAGGACGAACGCUGGCGGCGUGCCUAAUACAUGCAAGUAGAACGCUGAAGGGAGGAGCUUGCUCUUCUUGGAUGAGUUGCGAACGGGUGAGUAACGCGUAGGUAACCUGCCUUGUAGCGGGGGAUAACUAUUGGAAACGAUAGCUAAUACCGCAUAACAAUGGAUGACACAUGUCAUUUAUUUGAAAGGGGCAAUUGUUCCACUACAAGAUGGACCUGCGUUGUAUUAGCUAGUAGGUGAGGUAAUGGCUCACCUAGGCGACGAUACAUAGCCGACCUGAGAGGGUGAUCGGCCACACUGGACUGAGACACGGCCCAGACUCCUACGGGAGGCAGCAGUAGGGAAUCUUCGGCAAUGGGGGCAACCCUGACCGAGCAACGCCGCGUGAGUGAAGAAGGUUUUCGGAUCGUAAAGCUCUGUUGUAAGUCAAGAACGGGUGUGAGAGUGGAAAGUUCACACUGUGACGGUAGCUUACCAGAAAGGGACGGCUAACUACGUGCCAGCAGCCGCGGUAAUACGUAGGUCCCGAGCGUUGUCCGGAUUUAUUGGGCGUAAAGCGAGCGCAGGCGGUUUGAUAAGUCUGAAGUUAAAGGCUGUGGCUCAACCAUAGUUCGCUUUGGAAACUGUCAAACUUGAGUGCAGAAGGGGAGAGUGGAAUUCCAUGUGUAGCGGUGAAAUGCGUAGAUAUAUGGGGGAACACCGGUGGCGAAAGCGGCUCUCUGGUCUGUAACUGACGCUGAGGCUCGAAAGCGUGGGGAGCGAACAGGAUUAGAUACCCUGGUAGUCCACGCCGUAAACGAUGAGUGCUAGGUGUUGGAUCCUUUCCGGGAUUCAGUGCCGCAGCUAACGCAUUAAGCACUCCGCCUGGGGAGUACGACCGCAAGGUUGAAACUCAAAGGAAUUGACGGGGGCCCGCACAAGCGGUGGAGCAUGUGGUUUAAUUCGAAGCAACGCGAAGAACCUUACCAGGUCUUGACAUCCCGAUGCUAUUUCUAGAGAUAGAAAGUUACUUCGGUACAUCGGUGACAGGUGGUGCAUGGUUGUCGUCAGCUCGUGUCGUGAGAUGUUGGGUUAAGUCCCGCAACGAGCGCAACCCCUAUUGUUAGUUGCCAUCAUUCAGUUGGGCACUCUAGCGAGACUGCCGGUAAUAAACCGGAGGAAGGUGGGGAUGACGUCAAAUCAUCAUGCCCCUUAUGACCUGGGCUACACACGUGCUACAAUGGUUGGUACAACGAGUUGCGAGUCGGUGACGGCGAGCUAAUCUCUUAAAGCCAAUCUCAGUUCGGAUUGUAGGCUGCAACUCGCCUACAUGAAGUCGGAAUCGCUAGUAAUCGCGGAUCAGCACGCCGCGGUGAAUACGUUCCCGGGCCUUGUACACACCGCCCGUCACACCACGAGAGUUUGUAACACCCGAAGUCGGUGAGGUAACCUUUUGGAGCCAGCCGCCUAAGGUGGGAUAGAUGAUUGGGGUGAAGUCGUAACAAGGUA